rnacentral:rRNA from 1 species
GACGAACGCUGGCGGCGUGCUUAACACAUGCAAGUCGAACGGUGAAGGGACUGGUUUUGCUGGUCCUGGAUGAGUGGCGAACGGGUGAGUAACACGUGAGUAACCUGCCCCCUUCUUCUGGAUAACCGCAUGAAAGUGUUGCUAAUACGGGAUAUUCUGGGUCUGUCGCAUGGUGGGCCUGGGAAAGAUUGCGCCUUUUUUGGUGUUUUUGGUGGGGGAUGGGCUGGCGGCCUAUCAGCUUGUUGGUGGGGUGAUGGCCUACCAAGGGGGUGACGGGUAGCCGGCCUGAGAGGGUGGACGGUCACGCUGGGGCUGAGACACGGCCCAGACUCCUACGGGAGGCAGCAGUGGGGAAUAUUGCACAAUGGGCGAAAGCCUGAUGCAGCGACGCCGCGUGAGGGAUGGAGGCCUUCGGGUUGUGAACCUCUUUCGCCAGUGAAGCAGGCCUGCCUCUUUUUGUGGGUGGGUUGACGGUAGCUGGAUAAGAAGCGCCGGCUAACUACGUG